UCCCCGUCCUCGUGCGGMCGACUAGCGACGCCGUGUCCCGUCAUUCGUGUGGCUUAUGUUACUGUUGCCUUUCAAGUGCUUGCGUGCAUGUACCCGACCUACGGGAAGUGGUGCUUUGUACACGCUUGCCUCGCGGCGGACACCUCUGGGUGUUCCGCUGUGGCCUAAUGGCGCUUGCGGCGUUACCUCGUGGUACUGGCAYGUUUCGUGCUCGGUGCUAUCAAGGAAGCCUCGCUCUCGCUAUUGGUUUCGGAUGCCGCUCAUGAUAAUGGUUAAUGGCCCUUCUGGUUGCCGCU
rnacentral:misc_RNA from 1 species